CGACAUUAAUUACACACUGUGCAGGACACACGGAGAGGACACCGAUAACACUCAGUUAACCGUUAACUAGAACUUUAGCGGUCGUUUGUUUUCGCUCCACUUGCACGUCGGAGCUAGUUCGCUAACUGUUUAGCUAGCGUUAGCAAAAGUGCUACGGUAACUCUUGUUAGGAGGGGUGUCACUGCUGGAGGGUCUUUGCUGCCAUCACUCUGCAUCUCUUGGAUAAUCAGCAUCUCUCUCAGCUCCCAGUAUCCAAAUCACCACCAUGAAGACACCAAAAAGUAAUAAACCAACAGAUUCCCACCUAAGCUGCUUGGCUGCCUCAAGGAGACAUGAGGCCAAGUCCAAACGGCUUUCACCAUCAUCAUCCUCCUCACUGGGCUGAGCUGCGAUCCAACUCUUCAUUAGCUCCUCGUCAAGGUCAA